rnacentral:rRNA from 1 species
CCCGCUGAACUUAAGCAUAUCAAUAAGCGGAGGAAAAGAAACUAACAAGGAUUCCCCUAGUAACUGCGAGUGAAGCGGGAAAAGCUCAAAUUUAAAAUCUGGCGGUCUUUGGCCGUCCGAGUUGUAAUCUAGAGAAGUAAUGCCCGUGCUGGACCGUGUAUAAGUCUCCUGGGAUGGGGCGUCAUAGAGGGUGAGAAUCCCGUCUUUGACACGGACUACCAGUGCAUUGUGAUGCGCUCUCAAAGAGUCGGGUUGUUUGGGAAUGCAGCUCAAAAUGGGUGGUAAAUUCCAUCUAAAGCUAAAUAUUGGCGAGAGACCGAUAGCGAACAAGUACCGUGAGGGAAAGAUGAAAAGAACUUUGGAAAGAGAGUUAAACAGUACGUGAAAUUGCUGAAAGGGAAACGCUUGAAGUCAGUCGCGUUGGCCAGGGAUCAGCCUUGCUUUUGCAUGGUGUACUUUCUGGUUCGAUGGGUCAGCAUCAAUUUUGACCGCUGGAAAACGGUCAAGGGAAUGUGGCAUCUUUGGAUGCUGUUAUAGCCCCUGGUCACAUACGGCGGUUGAGAUUGAGGAACUCAGCACGCCCGCAAGGCCGGGUGUCGACCACGUUCGUGCUUAGGAUGCUGGCAUAAUGCUCUUUAAGCGACCCGUCUUGAAACACGG